ACAUGCUGACGAGCUGCCCCCCCCAGAAGAGCAAAGACAAAAGCAAAAGGGAGUGGUGGGACGGAAGGGUGGAAGAUGAAAGCAGUUGCUACUGAAAACACUGCAGCCAGAAGAGCAGAAGAGCCUGGAAGCGUGACUGAAGAUAUAUAGGAGAGAAGAUGUAAAGAGGCUAGGUUACAGAGGAAGGCCAGGAAGAAAGAAGUUGAGGAUGAUUCCAAAAAGACCUCUUAUGAAGAAGAAUUGGAGAAAAAGGAAAAAGAGAUGUGACUGCAGAUGUCCUGCUCUGUAAUGAUAUGACUGACCUGUCAAAGGAGUGGAACUGCAUGGGCAGCAUGGGAUGGGUCUUCAAGGCAGGGUCUGGGUGGUACGGUGUUGGUCCGGACUCCUGACCCAGUUCUGUGCCGUCAAUGGGAGCGGCCACCAAGCUCUUCAGGAUCUCCUGCAUUUCAGGGAAAUAAUAAAAUCUGGUGAACAAUGAAUUAUUACUGUGGACACAAUUUGAUUUGUGUCACAGAAACAGAAAAAUAGGUCUAAAGAAGAUUUAAACUAUGAAAGCACAGCCUGUCAGCAGAGAGAUGGAUGAAGGAGGGGCUUGGCUCGAGUUCGGAGUGGAUCUGGGCUCGUGGGGAGAAUCCAGAAGGCUCUCCUGCGACCUUCGCACAUCAGACAGACUGCACAGAAGAUCUGUGCCUCCUCCCCCACUUCCUCCCACUCCUCUUCCAUUGUCUCUGUCUCGGUCUCUGUCUGUCUCUCUCCCCACCAGGCCCAAACCGAGCCCUCCAAGGCCCACCUCUGAGCCGUUGAGAGAUCCGGCCACGUGUCCUUCUUCUCCGAUGCCUGAGUCUGUGUGAGGGAGGCCGGCGAGUGGGGAGUCGUCCACGGGGGUAGGGGUCUGCUUGUCGCGGUCAGUGAAGGCUGAGGAUGGGUGCUCUUUUGUGAUGAGAAAAAAAUACAUUUCAUUGUUUUAAUUAAAACACCUCUAUACCGAUAAGGAAAUAUGAUUAUAUGACUGAAAAUAAUCUACUAACAUCUUUUCUUGUAAACUUUGGUUUGUUCUGAAUAAUUAAAAAACAUUUGGGGGGGUGGGGUAUGAUAUCCCUGGCAGAUUAUUGCAUGCAGCCUGUAUUUUCUCCACUCCAGCGUUGAAGUGAUGAGUCACUGGUGAAUAACUGAUAUGUACAAGAUGAAGUAAAAGAAGAAAAACACAGAAACAAUCACCUGUACUGGUUGGAGAGUUUAUCUCGUGGCGGAUGCUUCUCCCCGACAGGCUGGUGGACCUGCCAAUCUCUCUCUGUGGUUCCAAAAUGUCUCGGUAUUUUGACACCAUGAGAACAGAGAUGAAGUAUACGACUGCAAGCGCCAAAAACUGCGCUUGCUUACUGUCAUCCUGCAGUAAAAAAAAAAAAAAAAAAAAAAAAACACAAAAUAUACAUUGUAAAUAGAGAGCAUUUUACACUUGUGUUAUAAAGGAAAAAAAAAACACAAACAGGCCUGCUCACCACAUCUCUGAAGACCACCGCUCGAAGACGGUUGAUAUCCACGUCCUGCAGGAGUCUGUCUGGAUCCUGCUGAGAGUAUAAGGCAUGAAAUGUAUUUGGUCACAGGUGUCAAAGCCUCUGUCUCAUCCUUAAGGUGCUACAGGAUGCGAAUAUGAUGAAAUGUCUGUUUGGUACCUUGCUGGCAGUGGAGGCACUGUGGAGGCUGUCCUGUGACUUGCUGCUGGUUAAUGAAGACUUGCAACUUCGAUCUCUCUGUCUUUGUCUGCACUCCAGGCAGUUUCUGACAGCUACACAACAAACUGAAGGCAGAAGGAGAAAACAUGUAAAGAUGGUAUGAUGCUGAGGGCUACAUAAAGCUACAGGUGGAUCCCUCUGCUAUGCCUAAUGAUGUUUUGCAAUUUGGUUUUUCCAAGUUUGAUUUUUCAGCUAAAUUAGAAGAAAAUAUUUGAUGUGCAGUAUAACAGAUUUGUAUUUAGCAAAAACUUUAAAAAAAAUACAUUCUUUAGGUGUUUGCAGACUGAGGUAUAAAUCUGUAAGCAUGAAAAGCAGACCAGCAAAUUUGAAUUUCAUAGGUAUUCUUAAAGAUAAUUCAGCUUUCUAGAAAAAACUACGUGACUCAAAGACAUUGGUUCUGGGCAAAAUGAAUGAAAAUUCUCUUAAUUUCUAUACAAGCAAAUUCUUUAUAAUAAAAAAAAAAGCCUGAUUAAAGAGUCGACCAAUCAGAACAGGGUAUAUUUUGGUCAGCACCAGAAGUCUGUCUUUCUUCCUUCUUUGCUUAUUUAUUUAUUUGUCUACUUUUGGGCCCUAAUAAACAUCUAAUUUUCUUCUCAGAAAUGUAGAUGCAUCUAUGAAUCCACUUCUAGGUUAAUCAGAUGUUCUAAGAGGAUUUUAAGAAAGUUGAAGAAUUGCAUCUAAAAAACAAAACAAAACAAUGUUUAUUUACCGGAAUAGCAUAUAUAUUACUAUAAAACAGUGAACAUGAGCAAUGUUUUAUUACUUAAGUUUCAUAAAUAAAGGAUUCUACAAGCUAAAUGAUGUAAAAGGCUGAGAAGAAGUGGUUUAUAUAUAGAAAAUGCUGUAAUGUACUCCUCAUAUUUCACUUGUCACUUUCUCUGCUUUAGAGUGUGGGUCAUACUGCAGGUCAGCUCUGUAACCAGGGAGUCACUCUGUUCUCAUACACAGCAAGCAAUGGAUGUGAUGAUAGAGAAUCGCUGCUAAAGGCUUUAGAUGAGUCACCAAUGGAUCCUUGUUUGCUCAGGGUCAGGAACAUGUCGUUUUAGGACCUUCUCUGGUUCGAAUAAAAAUGGUCAAUGCUGUGAUGGCAAAGAUACUUAAUUAACAUAGCCGAUUGUAGCAGUUUAUUUUUUUAGAUUGUAACCCGAAGUUUCCCAUUUUUGGCAUGAAAGCUGCUCAUUUACGAAUGCACUACAUGUCAGCAUUGCCAGUUUUUUAGCUCAAAGCACACGCUUUCUUGUGGAUUGUGCCACUUAGCAAAGUAGACUUUAAGCGAGCAAUUUUCAGCAUCAAAGAGCUGUUUCAAAUGAAGCCAGAAGUAGAAAGAUGGCAAAAGUCAUCUAAAGGGAAAAUGUAUUCUCCAGCACCUGGCUGCAAGAAAAGCAGAAAGAGGGCAAGUCCUGAACAACAAACGAUAAAGACAGGAGGGAAAAAAAUCUGAUUUCAAUACUGUCCUUUUAUUUUCAAAUAACUACUUUGAUAGAAAUAAACAUUUUUUGAAUCAUUAUUAGGAGAUCAAAGUCUCCUAAUCUGAAAAAAAAAUAUCUGAAAUUUAUGAUUAAAAUUUUUUUAGAUGCACUAAAAGUAAGACAAGCUGUUCCUAAAAUAAAAUAAUUUUUCCUUGGUUAGAGAAAAUAAGCAAUGCAAUUUACCAAUGGAACAAAACAAUUUACUUUUAAAAUAAAAAAAAAGAAACCCAUCAUCCUAUUUCAAUUUCAUAAUAUCUAAUUAUAAUCAAUGAAAGGACAAAAAUACAAAUUUUAUUAGCAGAUCAUCUUCUUUAUCUGCUCAGGGAAAGUAUACAUAUUUAAAAAAAUCUUUACCCAUUUUCUUUUUUUUUUUUUUUUUGCAGCAUGUGGCAAAAGCCCUUUCCAGUGUUAUCUCUUAUAAAAAUGUAUAUGUAAAUGUAAAAUGUAUUUAUUUUAGUUUCAGAUACAAACUGACUUAAUCUUCGCUAUUAUUUAUCUGUUAUAUUACACAUAGUAGCAUCGUGUUGAAGCAAGCUGUAAAACUGUAAGGAACAUAGUAUCUCCACCCCCACUCAUGACUGCUGCAGUCUAGAUUUCGAUCAAUACGGUAUAUUUUAAAGCAGGACCCACCGAGGCGAAGACACUGCCUCAUUAGUCCUCCAGACGACAUGUUCUUCUCCGCUUCGAUCUCACUGAAGUUCAACGAGCUGGCAAACACCAAAACGUCCACCAUGGCCAUCAGGCGAGACAGAAAAGUGACCGCUGUCUCUGAAGACAUGCCCUGCGUUGCUUCUAUGUUUUCCAACUCCGUCUAGGAUGGAGAGAUGACAGAAAUCCACAUAUGUUUGAGAAUUGACCUGCAAGUAACGGGGUUAUAAGCUCACUGUAUAUAAGGAUGUUUUUUAAAAAUAAAUCAGCCUUGGGAAAACUGGCCCUGGAUCAGCCAUGGCUGUCUGAGAAAACAAACGGGAACAGGAAGAGCAACCUUCAGUGUCAUGCUGAGAAAUCAAGAUGAUGAAAUCUGGUAAAGUGCUCUCUAAAAUACAGAGUAAAUGCAGCCGGAUGACACACAGGUAAUGGCAACAGUGGCGUUGGGACAGCAGCAGUGCGGCUUGUGGUCGUCAUGUGACCUUUAAAUCAGCUCUGCGUUAAUCCCAAAAUGCACAGAGUUCAAAUGUAAUAUAGAAAAUUCAAUCGCAGCAUAGCAGAGCUUUUAAAUCAAGUGUUUGGGUUUGCUGUUUCACUGCUUCUGUAAUAGGAGUGUGCAGAUCUGUGGGGAGUAGACAAAGUGCACGCAUCUGAAGGCUCAUUAGAGCACAGACAGUGGAGGAAUAACAGAGACAGAGUGAGGACAGAGGUGCUCUGGUUGUUGCUCUUAGUUCUUCUGGUGAUGAUGAGAGUCUCAGGCUCAGUACGCACCUCUCCCCCUGCGCCUCCUCCCCCAGGAACGGGGGUCACCUCCUCUCCCUUCGAACCCCUCUGGGGUCCGGCUCCUCCUGCCUUCUUUAGUGUUGAUACAAACGGGACAUUCUUAGCAAAAGCAAGUCUCUAGGACUGCCUAAAACACGCUUCUCUCAUUGAAAAUAAACUGCAGCCCCGCUCAGAAAUUCCCACAGACAUGAAGAGCAUGAAGUCAAAUUAAGUUUAAACUUUUAGUCAUUUAUUGGAACGAUUCUCAAAGUCAAUGGAGGGCACCGUAUAAAGCAAACAAAUACAUCUUGAUGUAAGUAAAUAAAUGACAAAAUAUUAAUUCUGUUUUAUUUCAUACGGACGUUUAUAUCCAUUAAUGGGAUAUUUUUUAUUAAUAACAGAACUUGUUGAAAUGUUAAACUAAUAAUAUGCAAUAUAUGAAUUAUUUAAACUGGAUAAAAAAUAUAAAUACACCUUUACAGAUCCUGCUAUCUAUUAAAACUUUUCCAAUAACAGCCUUUAAAUAGCAAGUUUAUUUUAGCAUUGUUUUAGCCUUUUUAUUAAAGCUUAGUACAACUUCUAUUAAACCUCAGUUAUUACAUGGAUGAAUGUCCCCUAAUCAAUUGCAAACAAGAUAGCCAGUUUUAGCCUAGCUGGAUGUGUUUCUACAGGGUUGAAAGAAUGUGUAAGAUGUAUUCAAAAUGGUCAUUUUGGCCACCAGUUUAAAAAUAAAAAAGGCCAUCCCAGAAGCUAUAUGUCAGCAUAGCAGAGAGGUCUGCAACCUUCGGCUCCGGAGCCACAUGUGGCUCUUUGGACCUUUAGCAAAGGCUCUUAAUACUAGCUAAUAAUGAUAUAAAGGACUAACUAAUAUACGAUGAUAAAAAAUAUUAGUGUUAGAAGCUUUAGCGGACUUUAUGACAAAUAUUUGAAUUGAAUUUUCACAAAAGAAUGACAUUAAAUGAACCAGAAAUA